rnacentral:rRNA from 1 species
UUGAUCCUACGGGGGGCAGCAGUGAGGAAUAUUGGUCAAUGGCCGAGAGGCUGAACCAGCCAAGUCGCGUGAGGGAUGACGGCCCUACGGGUUGUAAACCUCUUUUGUCGGGGAGCAAAGAGAGUCACGUGUGGCUCAUUGAGAGUACCCGAAGAAAAAGCAUCGGCUAACUCCGUGCCAGCAGCCGCGGUAAUACGGAGGGUGCAAGCGUUACUCGGAAUCACUGGGCGUAAAGAGUGCGUAGGCGGGGUAAUAAGUCAGAGGUGAAAUCCUGUAGCUUAACUACAGAA